AUUGAACGCUGGCGGCAGGCCUAACACAUGCAAGUCGAGCGGAUGAAGGGAGCUUGCUCCUGGAUUCAGCGGCGGACGGGUGAGUAAUGCCUAGGAAUCUGCCUGGUAGUGGGGGAUAACGUCCGGAAACGGGCGCUAAUACCGCAUACGUCCUGAGGGAGAAAGUGGGGGAUCUUCGGACCUCCCGCUAUCAGAUGAGCCUAGGUCGGAUUAGCUAGUUGGUGGGGUAAAGGCCUACCAAGGCGACGAUCCGUAACUGGUCUGAGAGGAUGAUCAGUCACACUGGAACUGAGACACGGUCCAGACUCCUACGGGAGGCAGCAGUGGGGAAUAUUGGACAAUGGGCGAAAGCCUGAUCCAGCCAUGCCGCGUGUGUGAAGAAGGUCUUCGGAUUGUAAAGCACUUUAAGUUGGGAGGAAGGGCAGUAAGUUAAUACCUCGCUGUUUUGACGUUACCAACAGAAUAAGCACCGGCUAACUUCGUG
rnacentral:rRNA from 1 species